CCUACGGGGGGCAGCAGUGGGGAAUAUUGCGCAAUGGGCGAAAGCCUGACGCAGCGACGCCGCGUGAGGGAUGAAGGUCUUCGGAUCGUAAACCUCUGUCAGCAGGGAAGAACGGUCACUGUGCUAAUCAGCAGUGAAUUGACGGUACCUGCAAAGGAAGCACCGGCUAACUCCGUGCCAGCAGCCGCGGUACUACGGAGGGUGCGAGCGUUAAUCGGAAUUACUGGGCGUAAGGCGCUCGUAGGCGGUAUGUCAAGUCAAGGGUGAAAGCCCCGGGCUCAAGGUGGGAACUGCCUUUGAAACUGGCAAACUGGAGUGUGUGAGAGGAUAGUGGAAUUCCAGGUGUAGGAGUGAAAUCCGGAGAUAUCUGGAGGAACAUCAGUGGCGAAGGCGACUAUCUGGCACAUAACUGACGCUGAGGAGCGAAAGCGUGGGUAGCAAACAGGAUUAGAUACCCCAGUAGUC
rnacentral:rRNA from 1 species